GAGAUUAUUGGUACAGACCAGUGAUGUCAGCAAUGAGCUUGAUAGCGUGACAAAGUGGAAGUGGUGAAAAGCAAAUACUAGCCAGUGAACACUCAGGUAGUAGACAGAUGUAUAGUUACAGAUCUUCCUUAUUACGCAUAAGCUUCAUUAAUACUCAAUGCAAAUAACUUCUUCCAUCAUUCUCGCCGCACAACUGAAAAACACAAGAGCGUAUCACCCAGGUGCCAGUGAGGAAUUCACAGGCAACAAACUGCAAAAGAGACAUAUUUUAAAUGUGAAAAUGAUUUCGAUCUACGUGAUCACAGUAGCUUUGGCAGUGACUGCUGUGGGACAAAGGUCUUCAGAAUGCAAUCUAACUGAACCUGGACCCCAGACGUGUUUUGGAGUUUUAGGAGAACCACUCGUUUUUUACAUACCUACUAAACCACAUGUGAAGACAAGCUUGAAAAAGAGUACAGAAAAAUUUUUAACCUUAAUAAGUGAUACAUUAAUUAGUCUCAAUGAAAAAUACAAGAAUCGUACUAUAUUUUUCCCAAAUGGUACAUUGAAGCUCGAAAAAGCAACAAAACAUGACUCUGGAGAGUACAGCAUGGAAACACACAGUUCUACUGACGGUGUGUUAUUGCACACAGUUAACAUCCAUCUACAUAUACUAGCUCUUGUGUCAAAACCUGCUGUAUCUCAGGUCUGUUUGUCACCAGAACAAAAGACAGUCAGUUUUUCCUCUGAAGGAGAUGAAGUAGAGUUCAUCUUGCUUUUAGAUGAUAACCUGUUGAUAAAAACCCAACCCAAGAUUGCAGAAAACCACAGCAUUUCAAAUGUUACCAUCAGCGUACAUGGUGAACUGAUGGGAAAGCUGAUGUGUAUCGUUCAAAACAAUAUAAGCAGAGAACAAACCGUCAUCCACCUUAUAAGCUGUACAGGUUUGUAUUUCAUGGAAAUAUAAAAAGUUUUUAUCUAUAGCUUCCACCUGUAUGGAUAGGUUGGCUUUCAGAAAUUUAACAGUCUGCUGUAUUAAAAGCAAGGACAAAUCUAGUACAGCGAAUUGUUGUAACUCUUUAUGUACCAUCCAGCAUUUACAUGAUCUCAACUCUUAAAGCAUUCAUAUUUGAUUUUUCUAGGUACAAAUUCUCCAGUUUCUGUGGUGAUUGUGGUUGUACUAACAAGUGUUGCCGCUCUACUUCUCACUUUACUUUUUACUGUUAAUAAAGAUGUUGCUGUAAAUAACAUUUUUUACUCCAAAAUUGUAUAUGAAGAAAACAUCACUCACACAAAGGCCACAGCCAGAUGAGGGAGUCAGUCUGAGGGCUUUCUUAUUUGGAGGAAACAGUGCGAACCACCACGCCACCAUGCUGCGUCUGCCCAUACAUUAUUACUUAUUUACAAGUCUGCACAUUUAUAAUUUUUAUUCUUUUAAUAAUGUUUUACAAUUUUGCUUGGUAGUGUAUGUUUUGAUGUGUAUGAUAAAAUAUAGUUCAUAUGAGAUAUCCUUGGAUAUUAAAACAAGGCUCUGGUCAGCAGUGUUGGUGCUUUGCUUACAUUGUGUUUUGUUUAGGAAAUGUGAGCCGUGCCUCAAGCAUCACAGCUACUCUUCACAAUGUGACCUUAGAAACCACAAACUAUAUCCUGUUUUCACUGAGCUGCUAAACCACCACUGCUGUAGCUGCACAGAGGUCAGUGUGCAACUACAGAAUCGGUAUCAUGCAUAACAAUGGCUUGUUUGUUCAUUAUUACAAAUCAUAGUAGAUGAUCCAUAAUAAUAAAUGCUCACUCAUUCUUAUGAAGCAACAAUAAGAAAAACAUGAAGGGCACACGAGGUAGCUGGCAAUGAAUUUACACAUUAUCCUGUUUCAUUGUAGAAAGAACUCUAAUUGACUAAGUAACAUUUUAAUUAAAAUAUUUUAUGUGACACAAAUGCAGCACUGAUAGGAAUGUUUGUUGGUUGUUUUAUCCAUAAACGUUAUUACAACAAAAGCAAGCAUAACAGAUAAGAGAAAUAAUGCUGCAUUUUACUUAAUGCACAAGUUGAUUUUUCUUUCUUUUUUUACAUUUUCUUUAUUUGUAUUACUUUAUCAUUAUCAAUUGGUCUGUGACAAUCUGUAAUGUUGGCUAGUACAGGGAAAGAACAGUGCUCGAAAAGCUCCCGGCCCAGACGGUGUGUCUCCUGCCACCCUCAGACACUGUGCAAACGAGCUGGCCCCAGUGUUUUCUGGCAUUUUCAACUCCUCACUGCAGGCAUGUCAUGUGCCUGCCUGCUUCAAGUCCUCUACCAUAAUCCCUGUCCCCAAGAAACCUAGGAUCACUGGACUAAAUGACUACAGACCCGUGGCUCUGACAUCUGUGGUCAUGAAGUCUUUUGAGCGCCUGGUUCUCUCCUAUCUCAAGACCCUCACGGCCCCCCUCCUGGACCCCCUGCGGUUUGCAUACAGAGCCAACAGGUCUGUAGAUGACGCCAUCAACAUGGCCCUACACUUCAUCCUGCAGCAUCUGGACCCUUCUCACCCUGGACACAGUCUGUUUGACCUGCUCCCCUCAGGCAGGAGGCUCCGGUCCAUUCGCACCAGAACCGCUCGCCAUAAGAACAGUUUCUUCCCCUCUGCUGUUGGACACACGAACAAUAACCGUAUGACUGUUCCCACCACUAACACAUGACCCUACGCUGUGUUCACUGCAUCAUUCCAUGUUUGGCACUGAUCACCACCUGCACUCAUGUAUAUAUCAUGUAUAUAUCUAUCUAUCUACUUAGCACUUUUAAUUCUUAUUCUCAUUUUUAUUUUCAUGUCUAUUUAAGCUUAAUUUAUAACAGUAUGUUUGCACUGAAGCACCGCAGCAAUUUCCUAAUGUUGUAAACCCGCUCAACAUUUGGCAAUAAAACCCUUUCUGAUUCUGA
ensembl:lncRNA